CAGUAGCCGCGGGAACACGGAGGAUGCGAGCGUUAUCCGGAUUUAUUGGGUUUAAAGGGUGCGUAGGCGGCCUGUUAAGUCAGCGGUGAAAUCUAGGAGCUUAACUCCUAAAUUGCCAUUGAAACUGGCGGGCUUGAGUGUAGAUGAGGUAGGCGGAAUGCGUGGUGUAGCGGUGGAAUGCAUAGAUAUCACGCAGAACUCCAAUUGCGAAGGCAGCUUACUAAGGUACAACUGACGCUGAAGCACGAAAGCGUGGGUAUCAAACAGGAUUAGAUACCCCCGUAGUCCCUGUCUCUUAUAC
rnacentral:rRNA from 1 species